rnacentral:rRNA from 1 species
UACGUAGGGUGCAAGCGUUGUCCGGAAUUAUUGGGCGUAAAGAGCUCGUAGGCGGCUUGUCACGUCGGAUGUGAAAACCCAAGGCUCAACCUUGGGCCUGCAUUCGAUACGGGCAGGCUAGAGUUCGGUAGGGGAGACUGGAAUUCCUGGUGUAGCGGUGAAAUGCGCAGAUAUCAGGAGGAACACCGGUGGCGAAGGCGGGUCUCUGGGCCGAUACUGACGCUGAGGAGCGAAAGCGUGGGGAGCGAACAGG